AUCCAACUAACGAAGCCCAAAUAGGAUGAAACGCGCGUCAUACUGGAU
rfam:Schistosoma haematobium scaffold1369_5, whole genome shotgun sequence.